rnacentral:rRNA from 1 species
GGUUAAGCGACUAAGCGUACACGGUGGAUGCCCUGGCAGUCAGAGGCGAUGAAGGACGUGCUAAUCUGCGAAAAGCGUCGGUAAGGUGAUAUGAACCGUUAUAACCGGCGAUGUCCGAAUGGGGAAACCCAGUGUGAUUCGUCACACUAUCGUUAACUGAAUACAUAGGUUAACGAGGCGAACCGGGGGAACUGAAACAUCUAAGUACCCCGAGGAAAAGAAAUCAACCGAGAUUCCCCCAGUAGCGGCGAGCGAACGGGGAGCAGCCCAGAGUCUGAAUCAGCUUGUGUGUUAGUGGAACGGUCUGGAAAGUCCGACGGUACAGGGUGAUAGUCCCGUACACCAAAAUGCACAGGCUGUGAACUCGAAGAGUAGGGCGGGACACGUGGUAUCCUGUCUGAAUAUGGGGGGACCAUCCUCCAAGGCUAAAUACUCCUGACUGACCGAUAGUGAACCAGUACCGUGAGGGAAAGGCGAAAAGAACCCCGGCGAGGGGAGUGAAAAAGAACCUGAAACCGUGUACGUACAAGCAGUGGGAGCACCUUCGGGUGUGACUGCGUACCUUUUGUAUAAUGGGUCAGCGACUUAUAUUCUGUAGCAAGGUUAACCGUAUAGGGGAGCCGCAGGGAAACCGAGUCUUAACUGGGCGUUAAGUUGCAGGGUAUAGACCCGAAACCCGGUGAUCUAGCCAUGGGCAGGUUGAAGGUUGGGUAACACUAACUGGAGGACCGAACCGACUAAUGUUGAAAAAUUAGCGGAUGACUUGUGGCUGGGGGUGAAAGGCCAAUCAAACCGGGAGAUAGCUGGUUCUCCCCGAAAGCUAUUUAGGUAGCGCCUCGUGAACUCAUCUUCGGGGGUAGAGCACUGUUUCGGCUAGGGGGUCAUCCCGACUUACCAACCCGAUGCAAACUACGAAUACCGAAGAAUGUUAUCACGGGAGACACACGGCGGGUGCUAACGUCCGUCGUGAAGAGGGAAACAACCCAGACCGCCAGCUAAGGUCCCAAAGUCAUGGUUAAGUGGGAAACGAUGUGGGAAGGCACAGACAGCCAGGAUGUUGGCUUAGAAGCAGCCAUCAUUUAAAGAAAGCGUAAUAGCUCACUGGUCGAGUCGGCCUGCGCGGAAGAUGUAACGGGGCUAAACCAUGCACCGAAGCUGCGGCAGCGACACUAUGUGUUGUUGGGUAGGGGAGCGUUCUGUAAGCCUGCGAAGGUGUGCUGUGAGGCAUGCUGGAGGUAUCAGAAGUGCGAAUGCUGACAUAAGUAACGAUAAAGCGGGUGAAAAGCCCGCUCGCCGGAAGACCAAGGGUUCCUGUCCAACGUUAAUCGGGGCAGGGUGAGUCGACCCCUAAGGCGAGGCCGAAAGGCGUAGUCGAUGGGAAACAGGUUAAUAUUCCUGUACUUGGUGUUACUGCGAAGGGGGGACGGAGAAGGCUAUGUUAGCCGGGCGACGGUUGUCCCGGUUUAAGCAUGUAGGCUGAUUGUCCAGGCAAAUCCGGAUAAUCAAGGCUGAGGUGUGAUGACGAGGCACUACGGUGCUGAAGUAACAAAUGCCCUGCUUCCAGGAAAAGCCUCUAAGCAUCAGGUAACAUUAAAUCGUACCCCAAACCGACACAGGUGGUCAGGUAGAGAAUACCAAGGCGCUUGAGAGAACUCGGGUGAAGGAACUAGGCAAAAUGGUGCCGUAACUUCGGGAGAAGGCACGCUGGUGUGUAGGUGAAGUCCCUGCGGAUGGAGCUGAGACCAGUCGAAGAUACCAGCUGGCUGCAACUGUUUAUUAAAAACACAGCACUGUGCAAACACGAAAGUGGACGUAUACGGUGUGACGCCUGCCCGGUGCCGGAAGGUUAAUUGAUGGGGUUAUCCGUAAGGAGAAGCUCUUGAUCGAAGCCCCGGUAAACGGCGGCCGUAACUAUAACGGUCCUAAGGUAGCGAAAUUCCUUGUCGGGUAAGUUCCGACCUGCACGAAUGGCGUAAUGAUGGCCAGGCUGUCUCCACCCGAGACUCAGUGAAAUUGAACUCGCUGUGAAGAUGCAGUGUACCCGCGGCAAGACGGAAAGACCCCGUGAACCUUUACUAUAGCUUGACACUGAACAUUGAGCCUUGAUGUGUAGGAUAGGUGGGAGGCUUUGAAGCGUGGACGCCAGUCUGCGUGGAGCCAACCUUGAAAUACCACCCUUUAAUGUUUGAUGUUCUAACGUUGGCCCCUGACCGGGGUUGCGGACAGUGUCUGGUGGGUAGUUUGACUGGGGCGGUCUCCUCCCAAAGCGUAACGGAGGAGCACGAAGGUUAGCUAAUCCUGGUCGGACAUCAGGAGGUUAGUGCAAUGGCAUAAGCUAGCUUGACUGCGAGCGUGACGGCGCGAGCAGGUGCGAAAGCAGGUCAUAGUGAUCCGGUGGUUCUGAAUGGAAGGGCCAUCGCUCAACGGAUAAAAGGUACUCCGGGGAUAACAGGCUGAUACCGCCCAAGAGUUCAUAUCGACGGCGGUGUUUGGCACCUCGAUGUCGGCUCAUCACAUCCUGGGGCUGAAGUAGGUCCCAAGGGUAUGGCUGUUCGCCAUUUAAAGUGGUACGCGAGCUGGGUUUAGAACGUCGUGAGACAGUUCGGUCCCUAUCUGCCGUGGGCGCUGGAGAAUUGAGGGGGGCUGCUCCUAGUACGAGAGGACCGGAGUGGACGCAUCACUGGUGUUCGGGUUGUCAUGCCAAUGGCACUGCCCGGUAGCUAAAUGCGGAAGAGAUAAGUGCUGAAAGCAUCUAAGCACGAAACUUGCCCCGAGAUGAGUUCUCCCUGAGACU